rnacentral:rRNA from 1 species
AUUGAACGCUGGCGGAAUGCUUUACACAUGCAAGUCGAACGGCAGCACGGGGCAACCUGGUGGCGAGUGGCGAACGGGUGAGUAAUACAUCGGAACGUGCCCAAUCGUGGGGGAUAACGUAGCGAAAGUUACGCUAAUACCGCAUACGAUCUACGGAUGAAAGCGGGGGAUCGCAAGACCUCGCGCGAAUGGAGCGGCCGAUGUCAGAUUAGGUAGUUGGUGGGGUAAAGGCUCACCAAGCCAACGAUCUGUAGCUGGUCUGAGAGGACGACCAGCCACACUGGAACUGAGACACGGUCCAGACUCCUACGGGAGGCAGCAGUGGGGAAUCUUGGACAAUGGGCGCAAGCCUGAUCCAGCCAUUCCGCGUGCAGGAUGAAGGCCUUCGGGUU